AUUGAACGCUGGCGGCAGGCCUAACACAUGCAAGUCGAACGGCAGCACAGAAGAGCUUGCUCUUUGGGUGGCGAGUGGCGGACGGGUGAGUAAUGUCUGGGAAACUGCCCGAUGGAGGGGGAUAACUACUGGAAACGGUAGCUAAUACCGCAUAACGUCGCAAGACCAAAGUGGGGGACCUUCGGGCCCCACACCAUCGGAUGUGCCCAGAUGGGAUUAGCUAGUAGGUGGGGUAAUGGCUCACCUAGGCGACGAUCCCUAGCUGGUCUGAGAGGAGGACCAUCCACACUGGAACUGAGACACGGUCCAGACUCCUACGGGAGGCAGCAGUGGGGAAUAUUGCACAAGGGGCGCAAGGCUGAUGCGGCCAUGCCGGGUGUAUGAAGAAGGCCUUCGGGUUGUAAAGUACUUUCAGCGGGGAGGAAGGCGGUGAGGUUAAUAACCUCGCCGAUUGACGUUACCCGCAGAAGAAGCACCGGCUAACUCCGUGCCAGCCGCCGCCGUAA
rnacentral:rRNA from 1 species